rnacentral:rRNA from 1 species
UCCGUAGGUGAACCUGCGGAAGGAUCAUUAACACUAAUCCAAUUCAACUCAACGAAGCCUUUAGUUGCCUCAGCAGCGCUUGCCUCGUGCAGUGCAGCUGGUGCAGCCCAACAAACUUAAUCACGCAAAGGAAGCUAACUAAGCUAUACCUUAAAUCCAAAUUCUCAACGAUGGAUAUCUUGGUUCCCAUAACGAUGAAGAACGCAGCGAAGUGCGAUAAGCAAUGCGAAUUGCAGAACCGUGAGUCAUCAGAUUUUUGAACGCAACUGGCGCCGACUGGCUCUCCAGUCGGCAUGCUUGUUUCAGUGUCUCUUUAUCUCAUCACCCAGAUCAUAAUGCGAGAGAUACCCUUCUCUUGCUAAGCAUGAAAGCACUCUGCGCUCUGCGAGCGGCUUCGACUUGUUCGAUGGUCGCACUCAAUGCAGCAGUCACAUUGCUCACAAUGUGAACUCAUUGAGAGCUGAGGCAGUGCGGUUUACCGCCAGUGCUUAGUCACCCAAACUUUCUUUGCAUCUGAAAUCAAGCAGGGGAUCACCCGGCUGGAACCUUAAGGCAUAUCAAUAAGGCGGGAGGGAAGGUCGGACUGGCCAAGGGGCACACAGGGGGGGGGGAUA